rnacentral:tRNA from 3 species
GUCUGCGUGGCUUAGCUGGUCAGAGCGUCGGUCUCAUAAUCCGAAGAUCAUGAGUUCGAUCCUCAUCGCGGACA